rnacentral:rRNA from 1 species
UGAAUACGAGAUGCUACGGCGUCGAAGCAGUGUAUGUCAGACUUCCAAGAAAAGCUCGCUAUGUCAUAAAUAAAUAAUGCCUGUACCAUAACCGACACAGGUGGGUAGGUAGAGUAUACUAAGGGGCGCGAGAUAACUCUCUCUAAGGAACUCGGCAAAAUAACUCCGUAACUUCGGGAGAAGGAGUGCCUUAAUUUAUUAAGGUUGCAAUAACAAGAUCCAAGCAACUGUUUAUCAAAAACACAGGUCUCCGCUAAGUCGUAAGACGAUGUAUGGGGGCUGACGCCUGCCCAGUGCCAGAAGGUUAAAGAAAUUGGUUAGCAUUAGCGAAGCUGAUGACUGAAGCCCUGGUGAACGGCGGCCGUAACGAUAACGGUCCUAAGGUAGCGAAAUUCCUUGUCGGGUAAGUUCCGACCCGCACGAAAGGCGUAAUGAUUUGGAUACUGUCUCGGAGAGGGACUCGGUGAAAUAGACUUGUCUGUGAAGAUGCGGACUACCUGCACCAGGACAGAAAGACCCUAUGAAGCUUUACUGUAACCUGAAAUUGAAAUUGGACUUUAUUUGCGCAGCAUAGGUGGAAGGCGUUGAGAUUAAUCUUGCGGGAUUAAUGGAGCCAUCAGUGAGAUACCACUCCUAUAAUGUUAGAUUUCUAACUUUGGAUCAUGAUCUGGUCAAAGAACAGUUUCAGGCGGGCAGUUUGACUGGGGCGGUCGCCUCCCAAAUGGUAACGGAGGCGUACAAAGGUUUCCUCUGAACGGGUAGAAAUCGUAUCUAGAGUGUAAAGGCAUAAGGAAGCUUGACUGUGAGACCUACAAGUCGAGCAGGGACGAAAGUCGGUCUUAGUGAUCUGACGGUGCUGAGUGGAAAGGCCGUCACUCAACGGAUAAAAGUUACUCUAGGAUAACAGGCUGAUCUCCCCCAAGAGUUCACAUCGACGGGGAGGUUUGGCACCUCGAUGUCGGCUCAUCGCAUCCUGGGGCGGUAGUACGUCCCAAGGGUUGGGCUGUUCGCCCAUGAAAGCGGUACGCGAGCUGGGUUCAGAACGUCGUGAGACAGUUCGGUCCAUAUCCGGUGUAGGCGUUAGAAUAUUGAGAGGAGCCUUCUUUAGUACGAGAGGACCGAGAAGGACAUACCUAUGGUGUACCAGUUAUCGUGCCAACGGUAAACGCUGGGUAGCUAUGUGUGGAGAGGAUAACCGCUGAAAGCAUCUAAGUGGGAAGCCCACCUCAAGAUGAGUGCUCUCACAGGGUUAACCUGGUAAGGUCACGGGAAGACCACCCGUUAAUAGGCACUAGGUGGAAGUCCAGUAAUGGAUGGAGCUAAGGUGUACUAACAGACCGAGGGCUUGACC